rnacentral:rRNA from 1 species
UGCCACAGCCGUAUCACCCUGACCAGGCUAAGCAGGGCUGAGCCUGGUCAGUACCUGGAUGGGAGACCACAUGGGAAAACUAGGUUGCUGUUGGAA